rnacentral:rRNA from 1 species
UACGGGGGGGGCAAGCGUUGUUCGGAAUUACUGGGCGUAAAGGGCUCGUAGGCGGCCAACUAAGUCGGAUGUGAAAUCCCCAGGCUUAACCUGGGAACUGCAUCCGAUACUGGAUGGCUUGAAUUCGGGAGAGGGAUGCAGAAUUCCAGGUGUAGCGGUGAAAUGCGUAGAUAUCUGGAGGAAUACCGGUGGCGAAGGCGGCAUCCUGGACCGACAUUGACGCUGAGAGACGAAAGCAUGGGGAUCAAACAGG